rnacentral:misc_RNA from 1 species
UCCGAGUUGACCCCGGCAGUCUCCCACGAGUCCCCACCAUCACGUGCUGGCAACAUAGGAUAAGGGUUGCGCUCGUUGCGGGACUUAACCCAACAUCUCACGACACGAGCUGACGACAGCCAUGCACCACCUGCACACAGGCCACAAGGGAAAGUCCUAUUUCUAGGACGGUCCACCGUUGUCUAGCCCAGGUAAGGUUCUUCGCGUUGCGUCGAAUUGAACCACAUG